rnacentral:rRNA from 1 species
UGGGGAAUAUUGCACAAUGGGCGCAAGCCUGAUGCAGCCAUGCCGCGUGUGUGAAGAAGGCCUUCGGGUUGUAAAGCACUUUCAGCGGGGAGGAAGGCGUUAAGGUUAAUAACCUUGGCGAUUGACGUUACCCGCAGAAGAAGCACCGGCUAACUCCGUGCCAGCAGUCGCGGUAAUACGGAGGGUGCAAGCGUUAAUCGGAAUUACUGGGCGUAAAGCGCACGCAGGCGGUCUGUCAAGUCGGAUGUGAAAUCCCCGGGCUCAACCUGGGAACUGCAUUCGAAACUGGCAGGCUAGAGUCUUGUAGAGGGGGGUAGAAUUCCAGGUGUAGCGGUGAAAUGCGUAGAGAUCUGGAGGAAUACCGGUGGCGAAGGCGGCCCCCUGGACAAAGACUGACGCUCAGGUGCGAAAGCGUGGGGAGCAAACAGG